UCUCACCGGGGACGCCCCGAGGGGAUAAGGCCGACCCCUCGGGCUCCUUCCCCCUGCUCCACUCACAUCGCCAACCACUCGCCCACACCCACUUGCCCCCUCUCCCCCUCUGGUUCUGCCUCCCUCCUCUAGAUCCUCCUUCUCCUGAGCGCAUCCAUGGCCAUUCCGCGGGAGUAGCUGCGACCACCAGCCUUUACUCAUCGCGCCAAUACAUCCAGGAGCUUCGCCGUUGUCGUCUCCUUCGACUACAUCCAUCAGUUCGAGCCGGGACUUCGUCAAGCUUCGGGAUCGAGCCUUCUCCCCGUCGGAAACCGUCGCCAUCUUGCCGCUGCCCCGCAAGCUCCAGUCCAACUCCCGCCUCCCCGACGUCGCCUACAUGCUCGCAGUAAGCACCUUGUUUGAUUCCCCCUGUUUGCCCUUCGAAUCCAUCACCGUAGAUGACUUCCCACGCUCGCCGUCGUUCACCAUGGUCGGAACUCACCCGUGCACACACGUUCACAUGCUUCUGAUGCUCGAGGCUGUGCUGCCAUUGCUAUUGCCCUGUUGCUGCUGCUCGUCCUUCGCGCCUGUCACCGCUACUGCGUUGUUGGUACUACGGCUUCCGCUGCUCCUUGCUAUGCUGCUUGUUGCGGCUGCUUCUCCCACCGCUGGUUGCCGCUGCUCCCGCGGCUAGGUGCCGUCGCUGUUGCGCCACUGCUACAUGUGCCAGCCCACUGCGCUGCACUCCCCCCUCGACCGAUGCGGUGGCCGCUGGCGCUUCCUGCACGCCGCCGGAGCACCCCGGCCGCUCCCGCCCGCGAGAGGAUGCCCCUCGUGCGCGCUGCUGCCUCCCAACUGCGAUCGUGCCUCCAGGCCAUCGUGGUUGCCGGUGCCUUGCUGCCUGGGUAAUCCCCCGCUCCCGGCGGUGCUCCUCGUUGCUGGCCGCCAGCGCCUUAAGCCCAACGCGCCUGUGCACAGAGCCAGAGGCCGGCUGGCUCUCUGUAUUAAGGGCCGGCCCUGUUAGAUUAGUUAGAGAUAGGUUAGAUGUUAAUUAGUGUAUUAGGAUUAGUCUAAUGUAUCACUGAUAGGUGGACCCACUGUUAGUUAAACAAAAAUUAUUGAUAUAAUAAAGCUAGAGGCAAUGAAAAGUGGGACCCAAACACUAUUCACCUUUUGAACAGUCAAAUGUUGACCUGGUCAACUCUGCUGACUGAACCACUCCUUGACCCCAUUGGUCAUACACUCAGGCUAGUGUAGAGCUAGGUGACAAAUGUAUAUUCUGUUUUUAAUUCAAAUUAAUAAUAAUGUUAAAAAGGGUUUAAAUCUUUAAAGAAUUAAUAGAAAAUAAUCCGUACCUCGGAUGAAAAAACUUUGUACAUGAAAAUUGCUCAGAACGACGAGACAAAUCCAAAUGCAUGGUCCAUUUACCAAUACGAUGCCUCUACCUAUUUGAACUUGGAACAUUCCCCCUCCGGUCAUCUGUCUGACACACGUCCGACACCGAGAAAAUUUUUCCGGAUGUUUUCCCCCUUCGCCAGUAUCGCCUAGCAUUGCGUUAGAACACCUCUAGCCCCGCUUAUUGUCAUGUUAUGCAUAUGUUUGCGUGUAUUUACUGUUACUUCCCCCUCUUCUCUCCGGUAGACCCUGAGACCGCUGCUGAUGCCACUGUUAUCGACUACGUCGAAGACGACCCUUCCAGUGGAGCUUCCAGGCAAGCCCCCUCUGAUCAUCCCGAUAUCGCCCAUUCCAUUCUCUCAUGUUUGCAUUAGAUUUUGAUACUGUAAUUGAUUGCUCCUAUUCUGAUGCAUAGCCUGCUUCUGUACCUGCUGUUGUAUCUUACCUGCUUAUCCUAAACUGCUUAGUAUAGGUUGGUUAGUGACCCAUCAUUGACCCCCACCUUUUCCUUGUUGCCCCUACUUCAUCAUCGAUGCCUCGAUCAACGUGACCGAUGACUAGAGCCCGACAUAUCACAUCACAUCACGCCCCUUUUGUUGCUUGAAUCUGCAGAGUUACCAUCGAGUGUCGAGGGUGAUACCUCACACAUCACUCCUGAUGAGAUCUCUGUAGUGUCGCUAUUAGGUCGUGGUCAUCGAGAGUGAUUCCUUGUUAACCACUUCCAAUACGACUCUGUCAUGCAACCCCUCAAGUGUGAACCUCGAGGGUGGUUCCUCUUACGUUCACCUUCAUGAAUACAUCGAGUGGAAUCCACCGAGGGUGAUUCAUCGGGUUUUCCCCUUGAUAUUUGGACACACGGUUACUUUGACUUUACUUGAGACCUUGGUGAAAGUCGGGUGGGCCCGGAGAGCACCCGCAAGAUAAUUACGUGGCAUGGUCGGGUAUUCCAUGCCCUUGUCGUAAGUCCACGAGACGGGGCGACAGGGUCACUUUCGAUCGUGGGUCUCUGCUCGUCUCCACGAGACGGGGUUUGGGUAUUUGUUCUGAGUUGGCAUUUGGCCUUUAUGCACUAACCACCACGCGAGAAUAGUUAUGGGCCUCAACGUCGCAGUAUCAGCCGAAGCUUUGUUAGACGUCCAGUUCGGCAUUGUGGUCGGGCCAGAUCGCACCAUCCAGGCAGAGGUGGUGCUAGUAUCCCCUUGCGCACAACAACCCGGAGUGCAAUGGGCGAUAGGCCCAGACCCCGGAGUGCUUAGGAUGUAGACCAGCGGGGACCUCUCUGUUGAGCCUAGGUAGGGUUGCGACGUGUUGAUCUUCUAAGGCCGGGCAUGACCCAAGAAAGUGUGUCCGGCCAGAGUAAUCAAGCGUGUUGGAAAAUGUAGUGCACCCCUGCAGGGAAGAUUAUCUAUUAAUAGUCGUGUCCACGAUAACGAACGUUAAGGCUUAUAUCCUGAUCUUAUACAACUACAAAUGAAUACUUGAGAUAUGUGGCUCCAGGAUUGCUUUCUCGCAGGGAGCAAAGUUUUAGAUAGCGCGCUAAGCCUCUUAGCGUCGGCCUGACCAAGAG
rnacentral:lncRNA from 1 species